rnacentral:rRNA from 1 species
AGAACGAACGCUGGCGGCAGGCUUAACACAUGCAAGUCGAACGGGUGUAGCAAUACAUCAGUGGCAGACGGGUGAGUAACACGUGGGAACCUUCCUAGGGGUACGGAACAACUCAGGGAAACUUGAGCUAAUACCGUAUACGUCCGUGAGGAGAAAGAUUCAUCGCCCCUAGACGGGCCCGCGUCGGAUUAGGUAGUUGGUGGGGUAACGCCUACAAGCCUACGAUCCGUAGCUGAUCUGAGAGGAUGAUCAGCCACACUGGGACUGAGACACGGCCCAGACUCCUACGGGAGCAGCAGUGGGAAUC